rnacentral:tRNA from 1 species
GGGGAUGUAGCUCAGUUGGGAGAGCAUCUGCCUUGCAAGCAGGGGGUCGAGAGUUCGAAUCUCUUCAUCUCCA